GCUGGGCAUGGUGGCACAUGCCUGUAGUCCUAGCUACUUGGGAGGCUGAGGUGGGAGGAUAGCUUGAGCCUGGGAGGUUGAGGCUGCAGUGAGUGGUGUCUUGCUACUGCACUCCAGCCUGGGCGACAGAGCAAGACCCUGUCUCAA
ensembl:misc_RNA Metazoa_SRP Metazoan signal recognition particle RNA